rnacentral:rRNA from 1 species
ACGGAAGGCAGCAGUGAGGAAUAUUGGUCAAUGGGCGGAAGCCUGAACCAGCCAAGUCGCGUGAAGGAUGAAGGUAUUAUGUAUUGUAAACUUCUUUAGACGUAGAGAAAUAAGCGGGACGUGUCUCGCGAUGCUAGUAUACGUAGAAUAAGGAUCGGCUAACUCCGUGCCAGCAGCCGCGGUAAUACGUAGGGAGCAAGCGUUAUCCGGAAUUACUGGGUGUAAAGGGAGUGCAGGCGGGACUGUAAGUCAGAUGUGAAAUAUGCCGGCUCAACUGGCAGACUGCAUUUGAAACUGCGGUUCUUGAGUGAAGUAGAGGUAAGCGGAAUUCCUAGUGUAGCGGUGAAAUGCGUAGAUAUUAGGAGGAACAUCAGUGGCGAAGGCGGCUUACUGGGCUUUAACUGACGCUGAGGCUCGAAAGCGUGGGGAGCAAACAGGAUUAGAUACCCUGGUA